CGUCCUACGGGGGCAGCAGUGGGGAAUAUUGCACAAUGGGGGAAACCCUGAUGCAGCGACGCCGCGUGAAGGACGAAGUAUUUCGGUACGUAAACUUCUAUCAGCAGGGAAGAAAAUGACGGUACCUGACCAAGAAGCCCCGGCUAACUACGUGCCAGCAGCCGCGGUAAUACGUAGGGGGCAAGCGUUAUCCGGAUUUACUGGGUGUAAAGGGAGCGUAGACGGAGGAGCAAGUCUGAUGUGAAAAUCCGGGGCCCAACCCCGGAACUGCAUUGGAAACUGUUUAUCUAGAGUGUCGGAGAGGC
rnacentral:rRNA from 1 species